rnacentral:lncRNA from 1 species
CCGUAAUUGCUUGUCACGACGUCAACAUGGUCGCGUGUGAUUUCAACCGUCAUACUUCAAAAUCGUACUAAUUUCAGCCGAAACUCUCGCAAACGCAAGAAUUCAAUUCAAACGUUUAUUUGGGUUGGAUAUCGUCAAUUUAGCCAUUCAACCUUGUUGACUUCAUGUUGCGUGCAUGUUAUAGAACCCGGAAAAAAAAUUGGGUGAUUUAUAUCGGUAAGACGGAAACGUGUGGGCCGUCACGUCAUGCCAUGGAAACGUGCUGGCAAACAUUGUACUUUGAUCCUUACGGCGUUGUCAGAAGCUAGUAACUGCCGCUCUGUUUGUGGAAAACUGAAUGUUUCUUAAAACGACACAAUAACAUCUAGAUGGGCAGUUGUUUUUGAUUAAACGUUCUGGAAUGUUGGAGUUGAACAAAAUAAUGACGACUGCUCGAUUGCUAUCGGACGGGAAAUUCUGGCGCAAUCUUAAGCGCUUCAAAGAAAAGAGGUCUUUCGCGUUGGCGUCAGUUCACUGCUUAGAUGGCGUGUUAAUUACAUUGUGCUCGGUUGAUGUGUUCACGAUACUUAGACAAGAUAAACAGUAGAGAUUUUUCCGCAUUCGUGUUCAAUCCAAACCCGUUCACCAAUCCGUUCCAGUUUGGCCACAAUGACGGAGAUUUUGGAUCUACAUUUUAAACCAACGAAGAUUGAUCUAGAUUGCGAAGCUGAUCUGACUAAGUCAGUUUACCUCAGGUUUUUAAUCAUGCUCGGUGCUGUUUGUUUAACUGAGGUUAGGGUGAAGCUUGGUGCACUAAAUGGUAUAAUUUGUGUUAGGCUCUCUGCAUGAGAUCGCCUACGUUAAUCCCUGCAGUAAGUGAUCAUGUCAUGGCAUUGUUGGUGUAGAAGGUAGGUCUAGUUUGUUUUGGUGACUCAGCAGAAUGGUUUACGUUACCAGUAAUUUCUUUUCUCAACCUAAAUCAUGAAUUCGUGGUUUUCCCAUCGCAUCAAGCGCGCCUUGGUAAACAAAAAUAAUGAAAAAAAAAUUGAUCUGAUAACUCAGUAAUUUAGCUCUAGUUUGGAGUUUGAUUAAUUAAUGGAACUGUCAAGGUUUUGUUCUAGAAUGUUAUUCAUGCGUGGGUGAUUCAUAGAAAUAUUUCCGCUAAUUAAUUGACAGAACUGUGGGAGUCGCCAGGUUAGCCUCCUUAGGCACGGCUAUUGAUAUGGCGGCCACAAAAGCGUAUGAAGCAGCCAUUGAUUCGUUUUGGAUUUAAAUCGAUAGUUUGUCACUCGAGGGAUUGUGUGCAGUUUCAAUUAUACUUUUUAAGGUGCAAAAAGGUUUCUUAAAGAUAAAGCUAUGUGUGAAAUUUUUUACACCGACGACACAACUUUUCAAAACCGUUUCCCUCUGUCACACAGUCCAAGAGUUUGGAAAUGAAAGAGAGCCCUAUUCAAACCUCUCGAGGUCUUUUAUAUAAAGGAUAAAACUCUUAACUUAAAGUGGUUCAUUCUGAAUAUAAAUUACCUCAUAUGGCAAUUGGUAAUAACAGGUGCUCAUUUAGAUGCUGUUUGUUUGCUAUGAUAGAAAUCAAAGGUUUUUUGCAUUUCAUGUUGUUAGCACCCACCAAGUUGAUGCAGCUUGUGUAGUUAAAGUAGAUUGUGUGAUUACAAUGCGUUCUAUGAAAGUGUCUUUGCUUUAGUAAGUAUGGUUUGGGUGUGUCCGUUCUUUACUUCGUGAAGUUGAGCUAAAGCAUGAUUAGAAUUUCCUGAGUGUGGUGCUGUAUGCAGAUGAGAGGGUGUGGUGCAUAUGAUGAUCAAUGUUCCUUUGGGAUAUCACAGCGGUAUUGUUGUUUAAGGAAUUCGUUAAAUUUCCUCUCUAGCUCGUGACGUAUGUAAAGCCAAUGAAACUCGUAUUACAAAGGUUUUGUGCUCUCAAUCGUUACAGUACACGAAAUAUAGCAAAAUUGCCAAGUUGUGCUAAGCCUAGAAACUGAAUUGCACUUUCAAAUUUACUUAGGUGAGCGCACUGGGCAAGGGGAACAAAAGUCAUCGCUUUGUACAUUCGCAAAUAAAGCCUCUCAAGGUUUUAUUUGAAUGAGCAAUUCAUCCUUAUCUCUUGGAAACAAUCCUUAUCAAUUCACCAAGACUACUAAUCUUGUGCUUCAUUAUUUUUUUUCUUCGACUUUCUGUGUUCAAGCCAUAUGUUUUUGAACCACAGGCCAUAUGUUUUUGAACCACAGGCCUACAUUUUGAGGAUAGAGUCGUUGUAUCUUUCCAUCUACAUGAACCAGAGAAAAACUUUAAGGACGAAAAACAUGCAAAGAAAGCUCAGUUGUGUAGACUGCUUUCAAUGCGAAUAUUACAGCUGUCCUUAGUAGAUUGAGUUCAAAACUUUCAACAACUUGUCUGUCAAUAAGGAACUGUAUUCAGGGGGUUGUGAUACAGUUGCCCUUGAUGAAACCCCGAACAUGAAAAAACCCUGAACCUGAUCAAAAGAAGGUGAAAAUUACACUGGGAAAUCAAAGGCGUAAUAACUGUGUGAUAUGGACUCCAAACAGAACAGUCUCCAUCAGUUCAGACCAUUAUUUUCGCAUAUAUGUUGCGUUCUUUGAAAAGAAGGCAGAUAUCCAACGUAAAGGCCGAUUUUCCCAAUCCAGGAGGCAUCAUUGAUGGCGAUGAAGAAGGCAAGCUGACCUCAUGUUGGGAUACUCUGUUGUGGGCUGACAUCCGCUAAGGAGGUGAAACAAUACGUGGCUGUCGGCGUCCUUCUCGUGGAAUCCUGCUGCAUGAGUAAACGAGAUAAGCCUGUACUCGUGGCUUAACAGUUUUCCCGAUGAUUUUCUUCAGCAAUCAAGAGCGUUUACAUAGUGUAUGAAAUUGUGUGAGGGUUUGUAAAAAAUAUCUAUUUCAUCCUUAUUUUUUUAAUAAAAUUAGUUACAGUAUCAAACGAAAA